CCUACGGGAGGCAGCAGUGGGGGAUAUUGCACAAUGGGGGGAACCCUGAUGCAGCGACGCCGCGUGGGUGAAGGAGUGCUUCGGCAUGUAAAGCCCUAUCGGCAGGGAAGAAGCAAGACGGUACCUGACUAAGAAGCCCCGGCUAACUACGUGCCAGCAGCCGCGGUAAUACGUAGGGGGCGAGCGUUAUCCGGAUUAACGGGGUGGAAAGGGAGCGUAGACGGCCAGGCAAGCCAGGGGGGAAAGGCCGGGGCCCAACCCCGGGACUGCCCUUGGAACUGGAUGGCUGGAGGGCGGGGGGGGCAGGCGGAAUGCCUGGUGUAGCGGUGAAAUGCGUAGAUAUCAGGAGGAACACCGGCGGCGAAGGCGGCCUGCUGGACUGCGACUGACGUUGAGGCUCGAAAGCGUGGGGAGCGAACAGGAUUAGAUACCCUUGUAGUC
rnacentral:rRNA from 1 species